rnacentral:rRNA from 1 species
AAUUUUCGGCAAUGGGGGAAACCCUGACCGAGCAAUGCCGCGUGAACUAUGAAGGUCUUCGGAUCGUAAGGUUCUGUUAUUGGGAAAGAAAUGCAUAAUUAGGAAAUGAGUUAUGCUUGACGGUACCUGAUGAGAAAGCCCCGGCUAACUAUGUGCCAGCAGCCGCGGUAAUACAUAGGGGGCGAGCGUUAUCCGGAAUUAUUGGGCGUAAAGCGUGCGUAGGCGGAUUAUUAAGUCUGACGUGAAAUCCCACAGCUUAACUGUGGAGGGUCGUUGGAAACUGGUAGGCUUGAGUACAGUAGAGGUAAGUGGAAUUCCAAGUGGAGCGGUGGAAUGCGUAGAUAUUUGGAGGAACACCAGUGGCGAAGGCGGCUUACUGGGCUGGAACUGACGCUGAUGCACGAAAGCGUGGGGAGCAAACAG